UAUCGAAUUCAAUUUGAUCAAACAUACAUUGGUCUGGAAAUUAGACUUAUUCUUCUCUUCAUUUUCUUUCAGAAGAAAAUUAACAAUUUUGUAUAUUGCAUAUUUUCAAAGUUUUAUAAAGAUGCAAAGUGGAGAAAGUCUUGAGAACAAGUAUGUUUCUAGUCGUAUUCAAACUUUUCAAAGAUGACUUUGUGUGUAUUUCAGAAUAUUUUAAUAUUUUCAUAUACAUGUAUAUACUGAGCAGGAAGAACGCAUAAGUAUAUAUAUCAUAGAAUGUUGAAAUCUUCCAAGGAAGAGUGUUGAUUUAUCUAAAACAUCUAAAGUUUUGACUGAAUUCAAGUUGAAUUCAUCUUAGCUAUGGUACACUAUGCAAUUCGUCUUUCUAUUAUAUUGAUGCAGAUUAUAUACACGUAUCUCACAUGCAUCGAGGUCUGAAUCUAUAUAUAUGAUGUCUGAAGAUGAGAUUAUAAAAUGUAUAACGAUUGUCCUUUUUGGCAGAAACCUUUUUUCUUGGUUUAGAUAAAUAUUCCAUGAAAAUAGAGGAAAGGUACAGAUAUUGGAGGUUAUUUUCGUAUUCUACCAAAAUGAUUUGUUUCUUGAUUAUGAAUACUUAUUGAUUUCUUGAAGUAGUCAAAUUGUGUGAACUUGAUGUUUUUAUCUAUAUACAAAAAAAAAGGUGAAAGGCAGAAAAGUAGUAAAUUGAUGUUUUUGUUUUAGAUUGAAAGCUUUUCGAGUACUACGAAACUUUCGAAUUGGAUUUACGCUUGUAAAUUACUGUCAAAAUUCAAGUAUGACAUUUUGUGAUAUCAAUGUUUCAUUAUCAUGUUUUGAAAGAUGUAGUUUGAGUUUCUCAUCAUUUGUAUAUAGUACUUAGUGUAUCAUCUUAUGGUUGAUGGUAUAAUUUUACAGCCAAGGAAUGUGAUUUCGUGAAAAAUUUCUAGGAAACGUUCAUGUAUACUUAGUCUAGUAGCGUAAAUUUAUCUUUUAGAAGUAUACAUGUAUGUAGUCUAUAAAGUAGUCUAUAAAGUACUUAAAUUUAGAUUUAUUCAUUGCAGAUGUUUUCUUGAGGUAAAUUAAUGCUUAAUUUAAAGGAGCCAUGUGAUGAAAGUACAUCUGAAUUGAUAAAUUAGCGCACCAAAAUUAGCGCAGAAGUGAUUUAGCACUUUUUGUAUAUAUACUUUCACUAUUGCACUACCUGAUUAAUAUAUUUGUAUCUAGCACUCCCUUAGUCAAUGUGUUCACUUACAUAGCACCAUGACAGUGCAUUUGAAUUUUGGACAUUGGGUUGUGUGAGGGACCAGGAUUUUGCCCUUCAAAAUCACAAACAUCCUGGCUCAGAAGACAAUUAAUUUACUUGAGAAAGCAAGCAAAGAGUUUUCACGGAUUAAAGAUAUCAAUCAGAUUAAAGGAACGAAUUGGUUUGAAAGAAGGAUUAAAAGUACCAAUUGGAUUCAAAGGAUUAAAACUACCAAUUGGAUUGAUUGUAUGGAUUUGAUAUCAGAUUAAUCGAUUAAACAACGAAAUCCUGUAGAGGCCUUUGUUCGCUUGUCUUUUGUUGUCGACCUCACUACAGCCACA
rnacentral:lncRNA from 1 species